ACCAGGUUAAAAUCCUACACUUACUGGGCCUUUACCUGUGGGCCUCUCAUAGUGUACCCACGUCAGAGUAAAUUACAACCUUGAACCAUUGCCCAGCCUCCUCAUCUGUGGGCUGUGAGCAGUGAAGGGGGUUGUACAGUG